rnacentral:misc_RNA from 1 species
GAUGAAGAACGUAGCGAAAUGCGAUACGUAAUGUGAAUUGCAAAUUCAGUGAAUCAUCGAGUCUUUGAACGCACAUUGCGCCCCCUGGUAUUCUGGCGGGCAUGCCUGUUCGAGCGUCAUUACAACCCUCAGGCCCCCGGGCCUGGCGUUGGGGAUCGGCGGAGCCCCCCGUGGGCACACGCCGUCCCCCAAAUGCAGUGGCGGUCCCGCCGCAGCUUCCAUCGCGUAGUAGCUAACACCUCGCGACUGGAGAGCGGCGCGGCCACGCCGUAAAACACCCAACUCUUCUGAAGUUGACCUCGAAUCAGGUAGGAAUACCCGCUGAACUUAAGCAUAUCAAUAAGCGGAGGA